rnacentral:rRNA from 1 species
CUGCCGUGGGCGCUGGAGAACUGAGGGGGGCUGCUCCUAGUACGAGAGGACCGGAGUGGACGCAUCACUGGUGUUCGGGUUGUCAUGCCAAUGGCACUGCCCGGUAGCUAAAUGCGGAAGAGAUAAGUGCUGAAAGCAUCUAAGCACGAAACUUGCCCCGAGAUGAGUUCUCCCUGACUCCUUGAGAGUCCUGAAGGAACGUUGAAGACGACGACGUUGAUAGGCCGGGUGUGUAAGCGCAGCGAUGCGUUGAGCUAACCGGUACUAAUGAACCGUGAGGCUUAACCUUACAACGCCGAAG